CCUACGGGAGGCAGCAGUGGGGAAUUUUGGACAAUGGGCGCAAGCCUGAUCCAGCCAUGCCGCGUGCAGGAUGAAGGCCUUCGGGUUGUAAACUGCUUUUGUACGGAACGAAAAGGCUCUGGUUAAUACCUGGGGUCCAUGACGGUACCGUAAGAAUAAGCACCGGCUAACUACGUGCCAGCAGCCGCGGUAAU
rnacentral:rRNA from 1 species